UUUGCCUACGGGAGGCAGCAGUGGGGAAUAUUGCACAAUGGGGGAAACCCUGAUGCAGCGACGCCGCGUGAGUGAGGAAGUAUUUCGGUAUGUAAAGCUCUAUCAGCAGGGAAGAAAAUGACGGUACCUGACUAAGAAGCCCCGGCUAACUACGUGCCAGCAGCCGCGGUAAUACGUAGGGGGCAAGCGUUAUCCGGAUUUACUGGGUGUAAAGGGAGCGUAGGCGGUGCGCCAAGUCUGGAGUGAAAUGCCGCAGCUUAACUGCGGAACUGCUUUGGAAACUGGCGAACUAGAGUGCGGGAGGG
rnacentral:rRNA from 1 species